rnacentral:rRNA from 1 species
GACGAACGCUGGCGGCGUGCUUAACACAUGCCAGUCGAACGGAAAGGCCCUGCUUGCAGGGUACUCGAGUGGCGAACGGGUGAGUAACACGUGGGGGAUCUGCCCUGCACUUCGGGAUAAGCCUGGGAAACUGGGUCUAAUACCGGAUAGGAGCCAUUUUUAGUGUGAUGGUUGGAAAGUUUUUUGGGUGUAGGAUGAGCGCGCGGCCUAUCAGCUUGUUGGUGGGGUAAUGGCCUACCAAGGCGGCGACGGGCAGCCGGCCUGCGGGGGUGGACAGCCACAUUGGGACUAAUAAGGCGCCCAGUCCACUCAGGGGGGCGGCAGGGGGGAAAUGGGCAAAGUGGGAGCGAGCCAAAGGCGGCCACCCCGUGGGGGGAGUGAGGGCUUACGGGUGGAAUUCUAAUUUCGAUAGGAAGAAAACUUUGUGGAGCGAGCCCGAGAAAAGAGGAACGGCCAAGCGGCGU